UAAUGCAUGCAAGUCGAGCGAUGAGGCCCUCUUCGGGGGGUACAUCAGCGGCAGACGGGUGAGUAACACGUAGGUGAUCUACCCCAGAGACGGGGAUAACGGGUGGAAACAUCCGCUAAUACCGGAUAGGCUUGUUCGGUCAAAGGGACAAGGAAAGGCUCCGGCGCUCUGGGAGGAGCCUGCGGCCCAUCAGCUAGUUGGCGGGGUAACGGCCCACCAAGGCAAAGACGGGUAGGGGGUGUGAGAGCACGGCCCCCCACAAUGGGACUGGAACACGGCCCAUACUCCUACGGGAGGCAGCAGCAGGGAAUAUUGCACAAUGGACGGGAGCCUGAUGCAGCGACGCCGCGUGGAUGAAGAAGGCCCUCGGGUUGUAAAAUCCUUUACAGGGGGAAGAGGAAGGACGGUACCCCUGGAACAAGUGUCGGCUAACUACGUGCCAGCAGCCGCGGUAAGACGUAGGACACAAGCGUUAUCCGGAUUUACUGGGCGUAAAGCGUCUGCAGGCGGACAGGUAAGUUGGGCGUGAAAGCUCCGGGCCCAACCCGGAGAGGUCGUUCAAUACUGCGUGUCUAGAGGGUGUCAGAGGGGAGUGGAAUUUCCGGAGUAGCGGUAAAAUGCGCAGAGAUCGGAAAGAACACCAAUGGCGAAGGCAGCUCCCUGGGGCAACCCUGACGCUAAGAGACGAAAGCUAGGGGAGCGAACAGGAUUAGAGACCCUGGUAGUCCUAGCCCUAAACGAUGGAUGCUGGAUGUGGGGCCAUAGCGCUCCGUGUCGAAGCGAACGCG
rnacentral:rRNA from 1 species